AGAGUUUGAUCCUGGCUCAGAACGAACGCUGGCGGCAGGCCUAACACAUGCAAGUCGAGCGCCCUUUCGGGGGAGCGGCGGACGGGUGAGUAACGCGUGGGAAUAUGCCCUUCUCUACGGAAUAGCCUCGGGAAACUGAGAGUAAUACCGUAUACGCCCUUAGGGGGAAAGAUUUAUCGGGGAAGGAUUAGCCCGCGUUGGAUUAGGUAGUUGGUGGGGUAAUGGCCUACCAAGCCGACGAUCCAUAGCUGGUUUGAGAGGAUGAUCAGCCACACUGGGACUGAGACACGGCCCAGACUCCUACGGGAGGCAGCAGUGGGGAAUCUUAGACAAUGGGGGCAACCCUGAUCUAGCCAUGCCGCGUGAGUGAUGAAGGCCUUAGGGUUGUAAAGCUCUUUCAGCUGGGAAGAUAAUGACGGUACCAGCAGAUGAAGCCCCGGCUAACUCCGUGCCAGCAGCCGCGGUAAU
rnacentral:rRNA from 1 species